GACGAACGCUGGCGGCGUGCUUAACACAUGCAAGUCGACAUGAGUGGCGAACGGGUGAGUAAUACGUGGGUAACCUGCCCUCCUUUUUGGGAUAAGGCUAGGAUACGGGGUCUAAUACCGAAUAAAGGGGGAUGGGCUCGCGGCCUAUCAGCUUGUUGGUGGGGUAACGGCCUACCAAGGCGGUGACGGGUAGCCGGGCUGAGAGGCGAACCGGCCACAUUGGGACGGAGCUACGGCCCAGGGUCGUACGGGAGGGGGAAGUGGGGGAAAGGGCAGAAUGGGCGAGAGACUGAGGCAGCGGCGCCGAGUGGGGGAUGAAGGCGUUAGGGUUGUAAACCUCUGGAGCUAUCGGAUGGGUAGGUGGAGAAGAAGCGCCGGCUAACUACGUGCCAGCAGCCGCGGUAAUAC
rnacentral:rRNA from 1 species